rnacentral:lncRNA from 1 species
CAGCAACCACACACAAUUAAGAGGAGUAAAUUGAGAAAUCUAGAAAGAGGAAGACAAAAAUGGCAGAUUGAAUUUGCUAAAAGAAGCAGCCGCUGUCACCUUCCUCCACCUAGCAACGGCAACCCCACCCAGCCUUCCAUCACCACCAGCCCCACACUUUAAACACCCAGCCGUCGCCACCUAAAAAAAAGAAUGUUGUAGAGGAUUACAGGGAAGUCAUGCACAGUCAGAGAGCAAGAAAGAGACAUUGAACUAUUUUUUUGCAAAAGCUCCAUCAAUUCCUUUUAAAACAAUUGGAUUUCUCUUAUGUUAAGCUGUAUUAGAGUUGGGGCGUUGGAGACGGUUUUUUGUGAGUUUGUCUUUCAGCGUUUCAUUUGGAGUCGUUAGUCAUGGUUCCUAUUUCGAAAAAUGAAUUUUGGCUCUACAUUGAGUGCUAUCCCGUCACUUUAUGGACGAGCUCGUCAAAGGUCGAAGUUUGAGGUUUCUGGGCAGAUUUGCGGUUCCUUCAAGAUUAUCGCUGUCCAAGUUUUCCGGUGUCAAGCAUUUUCUGAUUUUAUUCGGCAAAAUAUAUCUAAGGUCUGUUUCUUAACUUGUUCUUGAUUAAUAUAACUUUUUUUGUCUUGUGCAUUUAUAUGUAAAUGAAUGAAAUUCUGCUUGAUUUUUAGUUUACCUAAUUAUAUGCAUUUGAUAUUUUUAUCGUGCAUUAGCGUGCUAAAUGUUUACUGAUGUCUAAAUGGGAAUUUUCAUAACGUGAACAAGUUAAUUAGUCUCUUAUUGGUUUGGUUUGUUGAUUAAUCACGGGAAAGCAAACUAUUUUGAUUUGAAUUGAAAGAAUGAAAUAUUAAGGAAUUUUACAGUUUGGAUUUGUGGAGUCGUUGGUUAAAAAUCAAUUUGGGGCUAGGGUAUGAACAUUAUAAGACAACUAAAAGAAAUUGGGUUGGAAGUGAGUCUAUUACUUUACUUUAUUUAUUUUAUUUUUAUUGCAUUCUCUGCUAGGAGAAUGCUUAGGCCGUUGAUGUUCGGAUAGACAAACUUUAGGAUUUUGUUUGUUUUAAUUUCUAGGCGAGAGACCAUUCCCUUUAGUUUAUAUUCAAGGAAAUGCCCAGUAAAAUUUGUAUAUAUUAUUAUCCGGGGAAUGCCCCGAAGUGAAUGUAAAAGAAGGCCGAGAUAACAUUAUCACGAAGGCGUAGUUUAGGAUAGUUAGAUUUAUUUUGUCAUUUUCUUUUCUUUUGUUUAUUAAGUGGUGACGACCUCGAACCUCUUUGUGUUUAUUUUCUUUCGUGUGUUUUGCCUCAAUUAGAAUAUUUUUUAAAACUCACUAGAGAAAAUAUGCAACCGUACUAGUUACGGGACUCGGGGAAUGCCUAACAUCUUCUCCUCGAGUCAAAUGAACCUCCUUACCUAAAACUCUGGUGCAAACUAAUUUUUUAGUCCAAGUGUUUUAAAAGGAAAAAUUAUUUCUAAAAAAUGGUGACCUAACACACCGAAGGAUGAAGGUGGCAACUCUGAAAAAUCUUUUUGAACACAAUUCUUUGUCACUAUCUAUUUGAAAAUCCUUUUGAGUUUCAAAGUUCUUUUUUAUCUUUAAAAAGGGUUAGUAAGGUGAAAAAUAGGGGUAUGACAGCUUUGGCGACUCUGCUGCGGAGUGUAAGUUCGAGCUAAUACUUGAUCUUGUUGGCUUUUUAGGAUAUUCAGUUUAGGCAUUUUUUUUAUUUUCUUUAUUUGGUUUGUUUGUUUUAUUUCCUAUUUUUGUGGUUUAUUUGUUUCUCGCUUUUCUUUGUUUACUGCUUUAUAAAAUGUCAUCAUUUGCAUAACCAUGGAUCUUCUUUCUGCAACAAGUCUUCUGGAGUACAUUUGAGUGUACACAGCCUUUACGUGAGUCACCCGUGUUAUUAGGGGGGGUGGCGUGGGAGCGUGGAGUGGGCGGACAGCUAGAGCAGCCACCAUCUAUCACGUGCCGCCCCGAAUUGCCUCGUCUAGCGAACCCCAAACUUAGGUCAGUCUUUAGGUCAUUCUUAUUUGCAUCAUGUCACUUAGACCUAGUAGGGUUCGGUCCCAGGCACUGUGUUCUUUUGUAGGAGGCCUAUCCAAAUUACGUCAAAGUGGGCUCGUGGCCAAAAAAGAUAUUUAAUAUCUAUAUGUUACAUGUUGUACUUUUUAAGGGUAAAAAAGUCAUUGGGCAGACCAAUAUUUGUUGGGUACGAAUGAGAAGAAAAGAGGGUGAAGUAUAAAAAUAAAGCAAGUAGGGCCCACUUUUAUUUUUCUUUCACAAUUUUUUCAAAAAAAAAAAGAAGAAAAAAUUGAAAAAUUAAAAAAGAAAAUCCAAUAUGUUUUCUCCAAAAUUAGUUUUUUUUUUCAAGUUCUAUCCCAUAUCCAAUCUUUCUGAACUACGCAUACCUGAUUCUCGUCUUUCAGGGCGGGAUAUGUAGGCAAUCCACAUAGGGUCCGAUCUUCCUCCUCUUCCUAGUGAGUCUUAGCUUCUUGGCUUCAGGGGUCAUAGCCAAAUCUUGCAUGACUAGCAAGGUGUCCUCUCAGUUUUAAGGUCCAUUCUUAUUGAAUUUGCAUGUCUAGCCACUUUUGGCCACAUCGACCAUUUUUGCAAAAUGGAGUCAUUUUUGCGAAAGUGGUUCAGUGACCUAUGUCUUAGAAUCUUGAGUCCAAAAUUAGGUGUCAUAUUACUUUAAGGCCCGUCCUUGUUGAAUUUGCAUCUCUAGUCACGUUUAGCCAUAUCGGCCAUUUUCGCAAAAUGGGUCAUUUUUGCGAAGUAAUUUCUAGGGCCAUGAUUAUUGAGAGUUUGAAGCCAUAUAAGCCUUAGUGAUGUAUUUCCACGUCUUAGAGGUCACUUUUAUUGAGUUUGCACUAAUACCCACAUUUGGCCACGUAGGUUAUUUUGCAAAAAUAACCCAAUCAUGUCUUACAUGUGUCCACGUAAGCCUUAGUGAUGUAUUUCCACAUCUUAGAAGUCACCUUUGUUGAGUUUGCACUAAUAGCCACAUUUUCCCACGUAGGUUAUUUUGCAAAAAUAACCCAAUCAUGUCUUACAUGUGUCCAAUAGGAGGUGUUGUGGUCUCACAUAGUGUCUCGAGUCACUAAUCUAUUUGGUUUUAUUUUUCUCAUUCAAGUAUGGAUUCAUUUACCAGAGCUCGAGCAUGACAGACUCCCCAGGACUAUCCAGUCAGGACCACUGUAUUCAGGAGCUACUUGAGGAAACUUUUUAUAUUUUUGAGUCUGUUUUCAUGUUUUCUUUUACUUUCUAGUCUUGUCCAGUAGUAUUGAGUCUUUUACGUGGUGUCAGAGUCUUUCAUAGUCUAGUUGAGUUCGUCGAGUCUUUUGUUAUCAUAUUUCCUAUUUGGUAUGGGAAAACCAAAACAAAUUAUAAAUGAAAAAUCCAAACAGAUUUUUGUUUUAGUUUUUUUUCCAUUAUUUUUCUGGAACUACGCUUUGUUUGAUUCAUGUGGAAUAUGAUACAUAGGCAACCUACAUAGGGUUCGAUCAAAUUAUUUUUAAAAUUAAAAAAAAGGAGAUGAAGUUGUGGGAUGUAAAAAAUGAGAGAAAACUGCGGGAUGCAAGAAAAGAGCGAUAAUCAAAAAGAAAAGAGAGGAAGAAAUGAGCAAAUCAAGGAGCGUAAGAGAGGAAAUGAAGAAGAAAAGGACAAUGGGAGUAAAAUUGGGAUGAUACCAUAUGACCUUCGUACCAUCGAGUCAUUUUAGAACAGAUAACUGUAACUAGGUGCAUUGCACAUAAUGUGAGAUUAUCUUAUGUUAAAUGUUCUAACUCUAACAUGAUGACUUCAUUUUGUUCUUCUUUGUUAUCUUCAUUAUAGUACAAGGGUAGUUAGUUUGUGGUUCUUAAACUGGUAACUCUUUCCUACAACAUAAAGUUGAAAGGCAAUGGAAGACGACAACAGAGUUGAGUUAGUCGAUACUAGUACCCGAAAGCAGUUGGUUGAACAAGACAGUGGGUCAGUUGAAGAGAUAAGGAUGUUGAGACAAUACAUGGAGGACAUGUAUCAAGCCUGGAUGACUGGGAAGGCACUACCUCUGCCACCACCUAACUUCCUAGAUGUUGCCCUUACCCAAGCUCCGGUCAUAGUGUCAAAUGAUCGGCCAUAUUCUCCAAAUUUUCCCGCUUAUCACAGCUUUCCUAACCUUCCUAGUAGCUCCUUCGUUCGUUCUCUAACUACCUUUCCCAAAAAUAACCCUCCUAAUAUUGUUGAGCCCCACCAACGACAAGAUCCAGUGGGCGUUCCUGCUCAACGCUUUCAUCCUCAACAUCGACCACAUGAAUAUCCACGUACUCCAGAAAAUCCUCCUCAAUGAUAUUUCUCUCCACAAAAUCCCCAAAGUCAUACCUUACCUUUCCGGUAUUCUAUCUACGAAGCACCGCCAUAUGCUCCACAUCCACAAGACCCACAAUGACCUACACCACAUUCACAAAUGUCUUACCUACCUCCACAAGCAUAUCAAAUACCUAACCACAAAAGGUUCCAACCGAGGCCAGAGUACAAAAUGAAAAGGCAGCAACAAAAGGAGAAGUCUUUCACUCCUAUUGGAGAAUCAUAUGCCAGUUUGUUCCAAAGGUUGAGGCAAUUGGACAUGUUGAAGCCGAUUCAGAUAAAAAUUCUGGACCCACUUCCAAAGAAUUUUGAUUAUUCUCAAAGGUGUGCAUAUUGCUCUAAUGCCCCGGGGAACCGUAUAGAAAAGUGUUGGCAUCUAAAAAGAGCAGUCCAAAAGCUUAUUAAUGCAGGUGCCAUUACCGUGCAAAAUCUAGAUGCAGUGGAUACUAGCCAAAGUCUAUUGCCUGUUCAUAAUUAGAUGCAUAUGGUGGGCAUGAUUUGUGUUGAAAAGGAAUAUGAGAACUUUUCUGAAUCCCUUGGAGGGCCAGUCACCGCGAAAUUUUUAGCGCUAUCAGUUUCGGUGCCAGAAGUUGAUCUUAAGAACGAGUUGGCAAAAAGGACCUAAAAACAAUUUUCUGAGGUCAAUGUAAUGAAAUUGGUGAUGGUCUUGGUAAUAUUGAUAUGUAAUUCAGUGGCUAAGAUGUCAAGCUUGGUAAUUGGAAAGACGUUCCUCUCUUGGCCAGCCGGGGAAGAGUCUUGGUGGUUUAUUUUAUUGUCAUUUAUGUUGUCCGGGUUAUUUCAGGGUUGUAAUUCGAAUAUUGUCUUGUGACUCAAACCCUUCUAUCCUUUUAUUUUUCCUAGUUCGUUUAGUCGUAGUAACUCGUUUAGUGUUGUCUAGGUUUGUUCCAGGGUUGUAACCCUAGUUUAUUUUGCUUGUUUUGUUGUUCAAACCCUUUUACCGUCUGUCUAAUGCAAUUUCCUGCUUUCUGUUAUUUCUAAUAUGUAUUUGUUCAAUUCUCUUUUCUUUUUAUAGUUCUUUUUGUGCUGACUCUAGUGACAUGACUUGCACGAGGAAUUCUCAGCCUGGUCUUGAAAGUUAGUCUAAUCAUGAAGUAAUGAAACAAGUUUUGAAGAUGACAGAGACAUUUGAGGGAAACAAGAAAAGAUUUGGACAUUUUGAGAUCAUUUAAAGCCCCAAUUAUGUGAAACUAGGGCAGAUAGUUUGGGAAGUAAAAAGGACUAUAAGAAUUUGUUACAAGAGAAUGCGCCCCAGGCAAUUUGAAGCGAGCAGUUUUGAGUUCCAGUACAUCUCAAUUUACGAGAUAAAGCCAAAAAACUUUGCUCCAAAUUGAUAGAGGACAUCUAUUGUGAAGGAGAAAUUACCCAACAAGAGUUUUGUACUUGACAAGGCACUACAAAAAAGUGGAAGGCAUAUAUGUGAUAUCAAUGUCGAUGCUGCAAAAGAAAUGCCAUGCAUGAUCUUCGUUUUUCGUCCUCAAGUUGCAUGUGUUAUACUUGGCAUUUUCAGAGAUUGGGAGACCCUCUUUCAGCUACCUAAACACUUUAUAUCCUUCGGUACCCUUUUGAGCCUAUUCUAAUUUAUUUGACAUCCCCUCUUUUGGAAUCAAAUUAGAGUCAUAAAAAAAAGAAAAUCCAUGCCCCAUAAGGUUUUUUUAGAAAGUUCAUUUCAAAAAAAAAAGGAAAAAAGAAAAAAAAAAGAGAAAGAAAGAAAAAUAGCAACAAAAAAGUAUUCUUUUGAACUAUGUUCGACCUAAUUCUUGUCACCACAAGAUACGUAGACAGCCUUGUGGUUCGAUCGCGCCAAAUAAAAUAUUUCAUAAUCCCACGAAGUCAAGAGUGGGGCAAUAUUUUUUUAGAAAUUCCAUCUCAAAAAAAAGAAUCAAAUUCUCUUGUUUUAGAAAUUGGUACAAAGUUUUAAAAUGGAUUCCAAAAGUUGUAAAUAAAUUAACCCAGUUGUCUUAGUUAUUUUGAGCCUUUAUGAUAUCCUUUCUUUCUAAUCCUAUCCAAAAGCUACAUUACAGUCUAAAAAAGACAUCCCAGAUAAUCUUUGAGAGUGCUGAGUUAGCCAUGCCAAGAGCAUAUGAUAUUUUUAUCAUAGUUAAUACCUUUUCAUCUACAGAAUUAGAGGAAAAAGAAGAAAGAACAAAAUGAGAGAGUCUUAUUGGUGAAAACCUUCACAGACACUAUAAGGAAACGGUGAGUUAAGAGAAAGAACAAAAUGAGAGUAGGCUUGAUGGUGAAAACCCUUUCGGGCACUACAAGUCGAAUAAGGACAGUGAAUCAGAUAGGAUAAUCAGAGUGUUGAAGCCCACACGACUUAGAGGUACAACAAGAGUUGAACAUUAUACUUGCUUGAUAGAUUAGGACACUUAAUCCAAAAUGCAUGUCACGGUCAUUAGAGUUGGUAUCCACAUCUGAUAAGUUUCUACUUGGUGAUUUUCUUGUUAAAUGUCAUCUUUUUCCAUUGUCCCCUUAACUAUGUUCUUCCUGCUUUGUUUAAGUCCUCUUGAGUCUGUUUUGCUAGAACAAGUACGAAAUGACUUCAAAAUCUGCUACCAGCUUUUCAAUUGCACAAAACAGAGUUUGGCUAGCACGUCAAAGUGGCAUAAGUCAGGAAAGUGUAGUAUGCGCAUUGAGUGGGUGGCAAUUGACGUGUUUUGGGAUUCAUGUGAAAUGCAAAGGUUCGGUAUAUGUCAAUUCAUGAGCACAAUGCAACAAAUGAAGGGUAUUGGGCUUGAAUGGAUCAGAGGUAUUUUCUGUGAUAAGGGUGACAGAGAAAGUGGUUAGUCAAUAAACAAGCAAGGCCUUUCAAGUUGAAAUCAAAUUUAUCAUGGCAAGUGAAGGAGCAAUCGCCCUCAAGGUCAAGGCCACAAACCAACCACCAUGUUUUAAACUCACAAGUUUUCUUUGUUUGGAACAGGGACGAAGACUAUAUCCAAAUCAAGGCUUGGAAUCUUGAAACAUUCGGGUGUCGUGCCCAAAUUUUGUUAGCAUAAAGGCUGUUUGAGAAGGUUUUUACCUCUUAGACAUUCCGCUAGUUGAGAAGACCAUUAUCUCCUAGGCGUUUUUCCUAGUUGAGAAGAAUCGUACCUCCUAGGCAUACCCCUAGUCGAGAAGAGUCUAUAGCUUUCUUUUAGUUUAGGAUCCCGCUUGGAAAAUAUGGUCAAAUCUUUGUUUUUCCUAAGUAGUCAGUUUUAGUAUCCUUAGUUUGUUAAUCUUUAGCUUUCACUAAGUUCAGGAGUCCCGCCUGAAAAAUAGGGUUGCAUCUUAAUUUUCCCUAAGUUGUUAGUUUAGUUUCCUUAAGUUGUUAAUCUUUGGAUUUCCUUGAGUUCAGGGGUCCUGCCUGGAGAAUGAGGUCAGUUUUUAGUUUCUUAAGUUUUUAAUCUUUAGUUGUCCUUAAGUUCAGGGGUCUCGCCUAUAGAAUAUGGUCAAUUUUAGUUUUCUUAAGUUGUUAGUCUUUAGCGUUUAAGUUCAGGGGUCUCGCCUAGAGAAUAGGGUCAGUUUUAGUUUCCUUAAAUCGUUAAUCUUUGGCAUUACUUAAGUUCAGGGGUCCCGCCUGGAGAAUAGGGUCAGUUCUAGUUUCCUUAAGUUGUUAAUCUUAGUUUUCCUUGAAUUCAGGGGUCCCGCCUAGAGAAUAUGGUCAGUUUUUAGUUUCUUUAAGUUGUUUGUCUUUAGUUUUACUUGAGUUCAGGGGUCCCGUCUGGAGAAUAGGGUCAGUUUUUAGUUUUCUUAUGUUGUUAGCCUUUAGUUUUACUUGAGUUCAGGGGUCCCGCCUGGAGAAUAGGGUCAGUUUUUAGUUUCCUUAAGUUGUUAGUCUUUAGUUUUACUUGAGUCCAGGGGUCCUGCCUGGAGAAUAGAGUCAGUUUUUAGUUUUCUUAAUUUGUUAGUUUUUAGUUUUCCUUGAGUUCAAGGGUCCCGCCGGGAGAAUAGGGUCAAUUUUUAGUUUAGUCAAGCUGAGUUUAUAGUUUUCCUUAAGCUCAAUCUCACAAGAGAUUCACAUCCUAGUCGAGUCUUUAAUUUUACUCUCAUUAUUGCAUCCUUCAUCAAUAGCAUAGGUGAUUUAUAGUUUUGCUAAUAACUCACAAAUCUUUCUAGUGCAAACUGAGCCAGAAAAUUUUGUUUGUUUUGUUAUUUUUGAUUGCAGGCACCCACCUAGAGAACGAGGGGCAAUGUUUCAGAAAUUGGUUUCAGGUUCAAAUCAGAGAAGUACCAGAACUUCUAAUUUCUUUCAAGAUCAAGCAGGAAGAUCCCGCCUGAAGAACAGGUUCAACUUUUAUUUUUCAAGUUCGAGUCAGAGGCACCAGGAGCCCGCCUGAAGAAUAGGGUCAACUUUAAGUUUUCAAGAUCAAGUUAGAGAAGCACCAGGAGCCCACCUGAAGAACAGGGUCAACUUUCAGUUUCUUUCAAGUUGAAGCAACAGGAGCCCGCCUGAAGAAAGUGUCAACUUUCAGUUUACAAGUUCAAAUCAGAGAAGCAUCAGGAGCCCGCCUGAAGAACAUGGUCAACUUUUAGUUUACAAGUUCAAAUCAGAGAGGCAGCAAGAGCCUGCCUGAAGAAUGGUCAAUUUUCAGUUUUCAAGAUUCAAGUCAAAGAUAGUAGGAUUCCUCUUGGAGAAUAGGGGAAAUUUUUUGUUCAAAUCAGAAGUAGCACGAGCCCACCUGAAAAACAAGGUUUGCAAGCUCAAGUCUACUCAAAUUUCAUGUUUAUUUCAAGUCGAAGUAGCAAGAGCCCGUCUGAAGAACAGGGUCAACUUUCAUUUUUCUUAAAAUUCAAGUCAGCAGGAUGCCCACCUGAAGAAUAGGGUGAAUUUUCAAUUUCAUGUUGAAGGAUCAAGUGGAGAUUUAAGGAAGAUUCGAGACAAGAAGGUAGAUAGGAUCUUGUAUUUUUCUUUUAUUUUUGCUGUAAUUUUUCCUUUUAUUAUUGAUGUAAUGGCAGAUAUCACAGACUGGGACCUCGACGGUACCUCAAUCGGCUCGCCACCUCGGUAUACUCCAUCACUCUUCUCACUUCUGAACUACACGUGGCCUGAUUCCUAUAUAGCCAAGGAUAUGUAGG